UAAGUAGAUAGUGAAAUCCUGGGGCUCAACCCUUUAAACAUUAUCUAAACUGCUAAGCUAGAGGGCGAGAGAGGUUACUAGAAUUCCUUGUGUAGGAGUGAAAUCCGUAGAUAUAAGGAGGAAUACCGAUGGCGUAGGCAGGUAACUGGCUCGUCCCUGACACUAAGGCACGAAAGCGUGGGGAGCGACCGGGAUUAGAUACCCCGUUAGUCCACGCCGUAAACGAUGGAUGCUA
rnacentral:rRNA from 1 species